rnacentral:misc_RNA from 1 species
GAUGAAGAACGCAGCGAAAUGCGAUAAGUAAUGUGAAUUGCAGAAUUCAGUGAAUCAUCGAAUCUUUGAACGCACAUUGCGCCCGCCAGUAUUCUGGCGGGCAUGCCUGUUCGAGCGUCAUUUCAACCCUCAAGCCCCCGGGCUUGGUGUUGGGGAUCGGCGUGCCCUCGCGGCGCGCCGUCCCCUAAAUCUAGUGGCGGUCUCGCUGUAGCUUCCUCUGCGUAGUAGCAACGCUCGCACUGGAUCGCAGCGCGGCCACGCCGUUAAACCCCCCACUUCUGAAAGUUUGACCUCGGAUCAGGUAGGAAUACCCGCUGAACUUAAGCAUAUCAAUAAGCGGAGGA